AGCGAACGCUGGCGGCAGGCCUAACACAUGCAAGUCGAACGAACUCUUCGGAGUUAGUGGCGGACGGGUGAGUAACACGUGGGAACGUGCCUUUAGGUUCGGAAUAACUCAGGGAAACUUGUGCUAAUACCGAAUGUGCCCUUCGGGGGAAAGAUUUAUCGCCUUUAGAGCGGCCCGCGUCUGAUUAGCUAGUUGGUGAGGUAAAGGCUCACCAAGGCGACGAUCAGUAGCUGGUCUGAGAGGAUGAUCAGCCACAUUGGGACUGAGACACGGCCCAAACUCCUACGGGAGGCAGCAGUGGGGAAUCCUGCGCAAUGGGCGAAAGCCUGACGCAGCCAUGCCGCGUGAAUGAUGAAGGUCUUAGGAUUGUAAAAUUCUUUCACCGGGGACGAUAAUGACGGUUCCCGGAGAAGAAGCCCCGGCUAACUUCGUG
rnacentral:rRNA from 1 species